rnacentral:rRNA from 1 species
GAUUUCUGGGCUCAAGAAUUUGGCCGGCCACGGUUUCGUGUGUUAGUGCUUUGUUCUGUGUCCAUCCUUCCAAUUGCUAUUGGCUAUUCUUCAUUGAUUGGUCAGUAGUAUUGGAUCUUUUACUUUGAAAAAAUUAGAGUGUUUCAAGCAGGCUUUAUGCUAUGAAUACAUUAGCAUGGAAUAAUAAUUUAGGACUUCUGUUCUAUUUUGUUGGUUUCUAGGACUGAAGUAAUGAUUGAUAGGGAUAGUUGGGGGUGCUAGUAUUCAGCGGCCAGAGGUGAAAUUCUCGGAUUCGCUGAAGACUAACUUAUGCGAAAGCAUU